rnacentral:tRNA from 1 species
ACAUCUUUAGCUGAAUGGUACAGCAUUUGCCUUCGAAGCAACGGUUUAUUGGUUCGAGUCCAAUAGGAUGUU